rnacentral:lncRNA from 10 species
AACACCUCCAAGGGAAAAGGGAGAGGAGUCAGCUCUGAUCGCCUGGCGCACUGUGCAGCAAAUUCAUGUCAGAGCCAGCCUUGGAAUGUCUCCCAAGCUCCCAAGGCUCCUGGUACCUCACUGGGUUACAGCCGAUGGUGAUGAAGACAUGAAGAUGAUGCCUGUGUUCUCCUUGGGAGCCUUUCUCCCAGAUGUGAAACUGAUCCUAAGACCCCCUGUAAUUUCCUGCUGAAAAUCUCCACCAAGAAACACAGCCACAGCCACAGUUCUUCCUGGUAAGAAGCCCCCAGGGCCAGGCAACAAGAAAAGUGAGCUCGUUCAGCAGGCUGGGAUGUAAAUAAGCCACAAGAGGCUGUGCCAUUCUGGGUUGCACCUGUGAGCAUCACUCAGCUGAAGCCCCAUCAGCGUUUCCAUGACAAACUCGUAUUUCCGGAUGCCUUUCUUCCAGCUUGAAGAGCCUGCCUCGUGUGGGGGAAAAAUGAUGUCAUCAGCUGAAAGUGAGAAGCAAGGAGAACUGCGUGCAGGCCUGAAAAGAAAGGAGGCGUGAUGCAGUCAUCUGCCAGAGGGAGUAGGAGAGGCGACUUGCCUGGGGAAAACAGUGUAGGAUUGCUGGGCAGCAAUAUGGCAGCAAUGUGGUCCUCUGAGGUCAGUGGUGAUGAAUUUAAAGGGAAACCUUUCAGUACAGCUCUGUGUUUUUCUCCAGCCACCUUUAACACCUGGAGUGCAGGCAUUAAAUAGCUAAAAGUCACAUUUGACAAGUGUUGAUUUUGCUAGGCCUAUAGGUUGGGAGAGAGAAGGUCAGAAUGGUUGUCAUUGUUAUCUAUUGCUGUGAAACACAUGACUCCAACACAAUUACUCCCAAACAACAAAUAUUUAUUACCUCAUAGUUUCUGUGGGUCACAGUUUGGAAUUUGGAAGCAGCUCAGGCUGGGCAGUUCUGGCUUGGGGUCUUUCACGAGGCUGCAGUCAAAUGUUACCUCAGGUUACAGUCAUCUAAAAGCUUGUAUAGGGCUGGAGGAUCUGCUUCCAGGGUGGUGCACUCACAUGGCUGGCAAGUCAGUAGUGGUGGUUGGUGGACAACUCAGUUCCUCUACAGGCUGUCAGAGUGUACUUACAGCCUGACAACCAGCUUCUCCCAGAGCUACCAGUCCAAGAGGGAGACCUAAUCAGAAGCUAUCCUUCUUUGACCUAUGCUCAGAAGUGACAUUGCGUUCCUU